GCCUUCGUGGUGAAGUGGUCAGCAUGCUCGACGCAUAUUCGAGAGGUCCGUGUUCAAGUCCCUGUGACGGCA
rnacentral:tRNA from 1 species